GGGGAAUAUUGGGCAAUGGGCGAAAGCCUGACCCAGCAACGCCGCGUGAGGGAAGAAGGUUUUCGGAUUGUAAACCUCUGUCGCAGAUGACGAAGAAAGUGACGGUAAUCUGUGAGGAAGCCCCGGCUAACUACGUGCCAGCAGCCGCGGUAAUACGUAGGGGGCAAGCGUUAUCCGGAUUUACUGGGUGUAAAGGGAGCGUAGGUGGUUCGGCAAGUCAGAUGUGAAAGCCCGGGGCUCAACCCCGGGACUGCAUUUGAAACUGUCGGGCUAGAGUGCAGGAGAGGUAAGUGGAAUUCCUAGUGUAGCGGUGAAAUGCGUAGAUAUUAGGAGGAACACCAGUGGCGAAGGCGGCUUACUGGACUGUAACUGACACUGAGGCUCGAAAGCGUGGGGAGCAAACA
rnacentral:rRNA from 1 species